CUAUGUCAGUAACAAAAUUUUAAAAGUUGAUAUGUUUUCAUUUGUGCACCAAUAUAGGGAUUGCACCAUAUAUUCAACCAUUCCCCUAUAGUUGGGCAUUUAGGUUUCUGAUUUGUGCCAUUAGAAAGCCCACUGUGAUGUGCCAUUUUUGUACAUGAACCUUUGGCUGUCUUUCUCAUUAUUUCCUUGGAGUUAAUAUUCAGGAGUGAAAUUACCGGGUCAAAGGGCACAAACAUUUUUAAGGCUUUUAAACAUAUCUCCAGGAAGGUUGUACUAAUAUGUUUGCAUCUAAUAUUGAAGGAUCACUUUGAGGCCUAGGAGGCGUAAGAAGUAAGUGGCAUUUGAACAAGAACUUCAAGGGUGGGCACAGCUCCCACCAGUGCAGGUGGGUGGAGGCGUUUCGGGGGGAGAUACCAUCGCCAGACUCAAGGGACAGAAUACAAGGCGCCUGGGGGAAGGGUGAACAUUCUGAUUUAGUUAGUGCUCUGUCAGCCAUUUUAUGUAUUGAGCACAAUAGAAUGUUAAAAUUCUGAGAACAUAAAAUGCUCAAAAUAUGAAACAACUCGGCAAUAAUGUUAAGAUAGUCGCCACUGUGGUAUAAUGUUGUCUAAAUGUGCAAAAGUAUCACCAUUAUUGUACCAUUUCUUGCUCCCCUUGGCUCUGUGUUUCGAAUAGAACUAUCUGACGAUGUCACUGUGGUCUCAAAUAUUAUCAGGACAAUGUUCUAGAAGGCACGCUGUGUUUGGUGUUGGCAUGGAGCCACACUGGGUCGCUACUGUCAUUCAUCACCUGACCAUUCAGCCCUGUGCUCCCCUUGAUAGCCUUCCCACGGUGGUAUCAUGUUGUGGUUAAGAGAAGUGAAGAAGAAAAGAAACCAGACUGCCUGGGUUCCAAUUCCAGCUCUACCAUUGAUUGUUAGUGUGGCCUUAGGCAAAGUACUUAACCUUUGUGCCUCAAUUUCUUCAACUGUAAAAUGGAGUUGAUGUUAUCUACCUUUAUAGAUUAUCUGGAGGAUUAAAUGAGUUAAUAAACAUAAAACAUGUGAAACAAUGCUGUGCACAGAGUGAGGACUUCCUUUUUUAAUUAAAAAUAUUUUUUUUAUGUUUUAUCUAUUUUUGAGAGCAAUAGAGACAGAGCAUGAGCAAGGGAGGAGCAGAGAGAGAGGGAGACACAGAAUCCGAAGCAGUCUCCAGGCUCCGAGCUGUCAGCACAGAGCCCGACGCGGGGCUCGAACUCACGAACCGUGAGAUCAUGACAUGCCAAAGUCGGACACGUAACCGACUAAGCCACCGAGGCACCCCCAGAGAAGUUCUGCCUGUAAUUAUGAAACCCUAAGAAUGUCAUGCUUAUCACAACACGCAUUACUGCAAAAUUUCCACAUGUUGAAGGGCUGCGACACCACAACCACGAAGUAGGUCAGUCUGCUGAAGAGCAACCAAGGCCAGACCCAAGUUAGAUGACAGACUGUGAUUCACACACAAAACGCCAAGACGAGAGCCCAAGGACUCGCACCGGUAAGGAGUACAGGAGCACGGCCACGAAGAGCAGCAGGAUCAGCAGGAUCAGCAGGCCAAUGAUGACCCACUUAAAUCGGCGCCAGACGAUGAACUUCAUGGUCUUACACGGGUUGGUGAACCACAGGAAGGAGGUUUCUGGCCGGCUGCAUUGCAAAGAAAUGGUUUUACCUACCCAGUUCAGGUGGGACAGGAAUUUUACCUCAGAACCUAACAGUUUAGAGAAUAAUUAAUAACAUUUAUAAAGUCAAGAAAAGAUAUUA